UAUACAGAAUGUGCCUACUUGGAAGUGCU
rnacentral:piRNA from 1 species